UACGGGGGGGGCAAACGUUGUUCGGAAUUACUGGGCGUAAAGGGCUCGUAGGUGGCCAACUAAGUCAGACGUGAAAUCCCUCGGCUUAACCGGGGAACUGCGUCUGAUACUGGAUGGCUUGAGUUUGGGAGAGGGACGCGGAAUUCCAGGUGUAGCGGUGAAAUGCGUAGAUAUCUGGAGGAAUACCAGUGGCGAAGGCGGGUCUCUGGACAGUUCCUGACGCUGAGGCACGAAGGUCAGGGGAGCAAACGGGAUUAGAAAACCCCUGU
rnacentral:rRNA from 1 species